UACGAAGGGUGCAAACGUUGCUCGGAAUUAUUGGGCGUAAAGCGCACGUAGGCGGCUAUCUAAGUCGGAUGUGAAAUCCCUCGGCUUAACCAAGGAAGUGCACCCGAAACUGGAUAGCUUGAGUACAGAAGAGGAUCGCGGAAUUCCCGGUGUAGAGGUGAAAUUCGCAGAUAUCAGGAGGAACACCGGUGGCGAAGGCGGGUCUCUGGGCCGAUACUGACGCUGAGGAGCGAAAGCGUGGGGAGCGAACAGG
rnacentral:rRNA from 1 species